GUCUGUCCUCCACAGCCUCCAUCAUCUAGUUCCCCUUGAUGGUUGACUUCCUCUUGGAUUUGGCCAAUGGGAGGCACCAGCAGGGAUCUGAGGGUGGAUCAGUUCUGUACUCAUUUUACUUCAACCAACCCAGAACUGGGCAACCACUAUGUAGCAAGCAAUCUGUUAGACACCGAAGACACAAAGGGUCAAGUUUCAGCCUUUGGCUCAGAAGUCCUUUUUGGAGACAGACAAGCAAACAGGCCUCAAACAUUUUGUGGGACAUUACAAAACUCACGUCCUCUGUGCCCAUGGAACUUCGUGACUCAAACAACCGUGACUGAGGGGCCAGGCUCGCUGGCACUGUG